rnacentral:rRNA from 1 species
AAAUCCGCUUUGAUAAUGCUGGGAUGUGAUGGGGAGCGAAAUUUAGUAGCGAAGUAGCUGAUUUCACACUGUCAAGAAAAGUCUCUAUCGAGGUUAAAGGUACCCGUACCGCAAACCGACACAGGUGGGUGAGGAGAGUAUCCUAAGGCCAGCGAGAGAACUGUUGUUAAGGAACUCGGCAAAAUGACCCCGUAACUUAGGGAUAAGGGGUGCCACCAUCCGGUGGCCGCAGAGAAUAGGCCCAAGCGACUGUUUACCAAAAACAUAGGUUUCUGCUAAGUCGCAAGACGAUGUAUAGGAGCUGACGCCUGCCCGGUGCUGGAAGGUUAAGGGGAUCUGUUAGAGCAAUCGAAGCAGUGAACUUAAGCCCCAGUAAACGGCGGCCGUAACUAUAACGGUCCUAAGGUAGCGAAAUUCCUUGUCGGGUAAGUUCCGACCCGCACGAAAGGCGUAACGAUUUGGGCACUGUCUCAACAACAGACUCGGUGAAAUUGUAAUUCCGGUGAAGAUGCCGGAUACCUGCGACAGGACGGAAAGACCCCAUGGAGCUUUACUGUAGCUUGACAUUGGGUCUUGGUACUACAUGUACAGGAUAGGUGGGAGGCUUUGAAACCAGGACGCCAGUUUUGGCGGAGCCAUCCUUGGGAUACCACCCUUGUAGUACUGGGACUCUAACCAUAGGCCAUGAAUCUGGUCUUGGGACACUGUCAGGUGGGCAGUUUGACUGGGGCGGUCGCCUCCCAAAAGGUAACGGAGGCGCUCAAAGGUUCUCUCAGUACGGUCGGAAAUCGUACGUAGAGUGUAAAGGCAAAAGAGAGCUUGAUUGCAAGACAUACAGGUCGAGCAAGGAUGAAAAUCGGACUUAGUGAUCCGGUGGUUCUGCGUGGAAGGGCCAUCGCUCAACGGAUAAAAGCUACCCUGGGGAUAACAGGCUUAUCUCCCCCAAGAGUCCACAUCGACGGGGAGGUUUGGCACCUCGAUGUCGGCUCAUCACAUCCUGGGGCUGUAGUAGGUCCCAAGGGUUGGGCUGUUCGCCCAUUAAAGUGGUACGCGAGCUGGGUUCAGAACGUCGUGAGACAGUUCGGUCCCUAUCCGUCGCAGGCGUAGGAAAUUUGAGAAGACCUGUCCUUAGUACGAGAGGACCGGGAUGGACGUACCUCUGGUGUACCAGUUGUUCUGCCAAGGGCAUGGCUGGGUAGCUAUGUACGGAAUGGAUAAGCGCUGAAAGCAUCUAAGCGCGAAGCCAACUUCAAGAUAAGAUUUCCCACCGCAAGGGUAAGACCCCAGAAAGACUAUCUGGUUGAUAGGUCGAAGGUGUAAGUGCAGCAAUGUAUUUAGCUUAUCGAUACUAAUAG